rnacentral:rRNA from 1 species
ACAGUCACACAUUAGAUACCCGGGUAGUCCCAGCCGUAAACUAUGCGCGUUAGGUGUAUCGGUGACCACGAGUUACCGAGGUGCCGAAGGGAAACCGUGAAACGUGCCGCCUGGGAAGUACGGUCGCAAGGCUGAAACUUAAAGGAAUUGGCGGGGAGCACCACAACGGGUGGAGCCUGCGGUUUAAUUGGACUCAACGCCGGGAAGCUCACCGGAUAAGACAGCGGAAUGAUUGCCGGGCUGAAGACUCUGCAUGACUAGCUG